rnacentral:rRNA from 1 species
GACGAACGCUGGCGGCGUGCCUAAUACAUGCAAGUCGAACGCACAGUUUAUACCGUAGCUUGCUACACCAUAGACUGUGAGUUGCGAACGGGUGAGUAACGCGUAGGUAACCUGCCUGGUAGCGGGGGAUAACUAUUGGAAACGAUAGCUAAUACCGCAUAAUAUUAAUUAUUGCAUGAUAAUUAAUUGAAAGGUGCAAUUGCACCACUACCAGAUGGACCUGCGUUGUAUUAGCUAGUAGGUGAGGUAACGGCUCACCUAGGCGACGAUACAUAGCCGACCUGAGAGGGUGAUCGGCCACACUGGGACUGAGACACGGCCCAGACUCCUACGGGAGGCAGCAGUAGGGAAUCUUCGGCAAUGGACGAAAGUCUGACCGAGCAACGCCGCGUGAGUGAAGAAGGUUUUCGGAUCGUAAAGCUCGGUUGUAAGAGAAGAACGGGUGUGAGAGUGGAAAGUUCACACUGUGACGGUAUCUUACCAGAAAGAGACGGCUAACUACGUG